ACCGGGACUUCGGUCCUGGGGACAGCGGCGAACGGGUGAGUAACACGUGGGUAAUCUGCCCUCGAUUCUGGGAUAGCCCGGGGAAACCCGGAUUAAUACCGGAUAGCCUUUCGAGCUUUCGGGCUUGAAAGAAAAGGUAGCUUCGGCCUCCGAUCGAGGAUGAGCCCGCGGUGGAUUAGCUUGUUGGCGGGGUAAUGGCCCACCAAGGCGACGAUCCAUAGCUGGUCUGAGAGGACGAUCAGCCACACUGGGACUGAGACACGGCCCAGACUCCUACGGGAGGCAGCAGUGGGGAAUCUUGCGCAAUGGGCGAAAGCCUGACGCAGCGACGCCGCGUGGGGGAAGAAGGCCUUAGGG
rnacentral:rRNA from 1 species